ensembl:lncRNA
AGACCACAACGCUGUUACAGUGGAGCAGUUGAGCACACUGACAGUUCUGCAGUGUUGAUCUGAUGGAUAGCUCUGAAGAGAUAACUGCAUAAACUACUUAGAGGAGCCAUCAGAAGUGAGAUCUCUAGCUCUAUGGGGCAGGUCUCUGUCACUUGAACUAGUGGAAUAAAUACAGAUGUUGCUAAACAGUGCCAUCCUUCGUGUGCGACACAUAGUCAAAGCUCUGUGCUCUACUGUUGACAGUUCCACAUUUGGGAACAUUGAAAAAGAGGUCACAUGACCUUUCCAAACACUGCAAAACUCUGUUCUUCUCAAGAUGACCUGAAAUGUUCUAAUUAUUGGUUAUUCCCUCUAGUUGGUGAUGCAGCCAACAGGCACAUAAAGUUCAGUGAACCCACAAGUGUACAGCUGUUAUCUUUGACUUGUGGCCAAAAUAAAAAUUGGAUCAGAAU